UUGGGGGAAAAUUAGUAUAAAAAAAAUAAUAAAAAUAAUUUUAUUAAAAAUAUAAUAAUUGGGGGGUUAAAGUAUUUUUAAAAGAAAAAAUUUUAUAAUUUAUAGUAAAUUAGUAUUGUGAAAGAAAUUUGAAAUAAUUGAAAUAAAUUAAAUAAAAAGUAAAUUUAAUUUAUUGUAUCUUGUGUAUCAGAGUUUAUUUAAUAAAAAUUUUGUUAAAAAUAAUUCUCGAAUUUAAAAGAGUUAAUUAAUUAAAAAAUUUAUUGUAGCAAAAAUAUUUUUAAUAAUUAAUUAGAAAUGAAAUGUUAAUCGUUUUUAAAUAUAUCUAGUUUUUUUAGAAAAAAAUUUAAUUUUAAAUUUAAUUAAAUAAAUAAAUUUAAUUAAAAAAAUUUUUUUAAUGUUAAAUUUAGUAUUUUAAGGGAUAAGCUUUAAUUUAAAUUUUUAUAAAGAAAAAAAAAUUAUGAAAAUUUUAAAAUUUAUAUUUUUUAUAAAUUAUAGUUUUUUAUAAAUAAUUUCAUUAAUAUAUAAAAUUUAAUUAAUUUUAAUUUUUUAUAAAAUAAUAAAAUUUAAUUAUUUAAUUUUAGUUAUAAUGAUAAAAUUAGUAUAGAUAAUAAAUUGAAUAUUAUUAAUUUAAUUGAAAAAUUAAUAAUAAGGAAUUCGGCAAAUAUUUAUAUUCACUUGUUUAUCAAAAACAUGUCUUUUUGAAUAAUAAUUUAAAGUCUAAUCUGCCCACUGAUAAUAAUUAAAGGGCUGCAGUAUAUUGACUGUACAAAGGUAGCAUAAUCAUUAGUCUCUUAAUUGGUGACUUGUAUGAAAGAUUGGAUGAGAUAUAAACUGUCUUAUUAUUAUUUUUAGAAUUUAAUUUUUUAAUUAAAAAGUUAAAAUAAGUUUAAAAGACGAGAAGACCCUAUAGAGUUUAAUAUAAAUUUUAAUUAAAUAUUUAUUUAUUAAUUUUAAAUUUAAAUUAAAUUUUAUAUUUUGUUGGGGUGAUAAAAAAAUAGAAAUAACUUUUUUUAUAAAAAUUAAUAUAAAAUUUAUAUUAUAUUAUUAUAAACAUAAAUAAAUGAAUAAAUGAUCCAUAAUUUAUGAUUAAAAGAUUAAAUUACCUUAGGGAUAACAGCGUAAUUUUCUUUUUUAGUUCAAAUAAAAAAGAAAGUUUGCGACCUCGAUGUUGGAUUAAGAUAAAAUUUAAAUGCAAAAGUUUAAAAUUUUGAUCUGUUCGAUCAUUAAAAUCUUACAUGAUCUGAGUUCAAACCGGUGUGAGCCAGGUUGGUUUCUAUCUUUAAAAAUGAAAAAUAUUUCAGUACGAAAGGAUCAAAUAUUUAAAAUAAUUUUAAAAAAAGAAUUUUAUUAAUUUAAUUAUAUAGUUGAGA
rnacentral:rRNA from 1 species